ACGCGCCGCCGCCGUCAUCUCCCUUCGCAGGCACGUCUCUUCCUUCACUCGAUUUCCCUGAUCCCCUUCUCGCACAUUGCCUCCUCCCAUUCCUUCCCCCCUUACUCGCACGGAGGUGGCUGCAGGAGAUGCGUGGCAGAGGAGGUUCGUGCAGGGGGUGAUGGUGGUGGGAGUGGGGAGUAAGAAAGAGCAUGGAGGCGGCGGCGGCUAGGAAGAGCGUGUGCGUGACCAGCGCAGGAGGCUUCAUCGCCUCGUGGCUCAUCAAGCUCCUCCUCUCCAAGGGCCACUAAAUGGUCCGCGGAUCCGUCCAUCCCAGCCCCUCGAAGAUCCAACCUCAGCUCAUGCUCGCGCUGCUCCCACCCCACGACGCCGUCUGCGUCGAACUGAAAGCCCACGGAGGACGGGGACGAGGUCAGGGUGGAGAUGUGGAUCAUUUUCUUUGGAUCCCCAACUGAAGAGUUUGAAGGAGUUUCUGCAGAGCACCUAGAUGUCAAUGAAUGUGCGUAGAGUCCAGGCCCCUGCCAUGGCUCUGCAACUUGCCACAACACAGUUGGAGGGUUCCAUUGUUCAUGCCCUUUUGUCACCAGUUUUGCUAAGGAAACAAACUCCUGCGCCAAUCAGUUUAUAAGUCAGGAGUUGAGCAGGGCACAAUCUGUGGCAGGACCGCAUUCUCCCACUCCUUUGUCUCAAAGCAAAAGAAGCUCGCUGCCUUUGCCUGGAGAGAGCAGAAGUUUCUUUUAUCUAAUCCAAGAUGAUCUAUUCAUGAUUAAAACAGCGAGGAAAUCAGAAGUCGAGUUCUACUAAUUGAAGCCGGUGAGUUGGUGUAUGCUUGACGUGAAUCUGGUUCUCGCUUCAAUUCCCCCUGUUUCACCUCCAGAUCUACUCAUCGGGAGAUGGAUUCCUUGCAGUGAGAGGCUGGUCUGACGCUGUUGUUGAUAAUCAUCCAUACCUAUUCUGGACAUGGACGAAGUACACACAUGUACACACAGCUUUUUUUGAUCCGUUGCAUAUCAAAGCUUCAUUCAGACGAUGGACUGUCUUGCUCUACUUCGAAAUCAAAACAGGUGAGUCGUGUCCUUUUUAGGAUUUAACCAACUGAACUGAAACCAAGAUACAGUUGCUGCAGCACUUAUGAGCAAAUUGUACAGGGGAAAAACAGGCGGCUGAUGCAGAACAAGGGAAGGAGUAGCAGCUAUCUGCUGUUUCAGUUGUUUAUGUGCGCUGAAGAUUGUUCAUACCCGUACCCUGAAGAAAGAAGGCAAAA